GGAACGCCUGUUUGCAGUUGAGAGAAGAGGAAGGCAUCUGUCUCCUGCCAGUCCCUGGGCAAUGGAAUGUCUCGGUGUAAAACCUGAUUGUAUGUUCCAUCUGCUGAGAUAGGGGAAAACCGCCUUAGGGCUGGAGGUGGGACAUGCGGGCAGCACUACUGCUCUUUAAGUCAUUGAGAUGUUUAUGUGUAUGCAUAUCUGAAGCACAGCACUUAAUUCUUUACCUUGUUCUUGAUGCAGAGACCUUUGUUCACGUGUUUAUCUGCUGACCUUCUCUCCACUAUUAUUCUAUGACCC
rnacentral:lncRNA from 10 species